ACCUUGGCGUUCAAGGCAGAGAAAGCCAGGCAAGCAUCAGGCCCGACGCUGGGAGUUCAUCCCGGGAGCCCAGCCGCACGCUGACAGGGGGAAAACUGCAGAAGCCGGUCUACCCCCAGUGGACCUUUUUGGGGUUCAUAUGCCAGCUGAUCUGAGCCCUGGAGUGGACUUACCUUGCUGUGUGGCUUCAGGAAAGCAUGCAACAUCUCUGCAACGUCAGCAUUUCCUCCUCCGUGCUAAGUCAUUCCUGAGGCCUCCUCCUGCUGCUGAAGUUUGACACGGGCCUUGACCAAAUCAUAAAUGCAGGUUUAAUGGGAUAAAAAUGAGUUAGAAUCUGGGAUUCUGGUCAUUAACCCCAUGUCACCAUCUGCUGGAGCAGUUUGAUGACAGGGCCAGGUGAAUUCUAAUCACCCAACACUUGUUAAACAUGCAGAUUCCUGCUCCAUUUCCCCUUCCUGCACCCCCUAUGACUCAGCUUCUCUAGGGGUGGGGCCUGGGCAGGCUCUUUUCCUCAAUGGGUUUAUGGAGGGCAGCUCGAAGACCCCACCCAGGACCAGACAUGCCCCCAGUCUGAUCAGGAGCUCUUCCCAUUAUCAGCCAUGCCAGGUUGGUUUGUGGAGCUUUGCAUUUGCAUUUCCCUCUGCCUGGAAGGAGUUCCCAACAGCUGUCUUCUUCCACUUCCACGUCACCUCCCCUGAGAGGCCUUGGCUGGCCUACCUGUCUCCACCCCACUCACUGCCCUAUUAUAUGUUGCCUUUUCUUUUCAGUACUAAUCAUUUUCUGCAAUUCGCCUCUUCUCCUUGUGCCGUAUGUAUUGGUCUUAAUGGAACGGAAGCCCCCACCCUCGGGGCAGAGACCCUGCCCGGCUCGUUGGAGGCUGUGUCCCCAGCCUGAGCCAGUUGAGAGAUGCUGAGUAAUACAAAAAUUAAUGAAUAAAUGAACACAUGAAUGGAUUCACUCAUCUCUAAUGCUGAGGCUGAGUCUCUGAGAUGCAAGAGUGGAGACCCUCAUCUCACCCUGGGGAACCUGGGGCCUGGGCUAAGCCAAGUUCCAGAAGAAGGUGAAGGAUACCUCCAGCCUCUCACCCCUGUCCCAUUGUCACCCCAGCACCUGGAGAAGCCCUAACAGUAGGGGUGUGCGCACCUAGAGAAUCUCAGCUUUAGGUUAUUGGACUGGAAAACCCUGACUUGGGGGCUGUUGACUAAGCACCCCUUAGCUUCAUACUCUACAAAAACACGAGUGCAGGUGAAAAUUCAGGUUAGGUAUGAACUGAGGGCUGCUUACCUAUCCUAUUAAAGAGUAAUUUUUCUUCA